AGCUUUUUUUGAAAAACCUGGAUAGAAGAGAGCUUUGUGAUGACAUAGGAACCACAAGAGAAAAAUGUUCAUUCAGUUUUUGCAUCUGAGGACUUGCGAUGCGGACAUUGCUUGCAUGCCUGACUUCAAUAGUAAAAAUUACCUUGUGCCAUGGAUGAGCUUUAAUUUGCGGGAACUUGAACUCCGUGUAGUUUGGGUUCAUGCACUUGAUCUCUUCCCUUGUUGGAGUACCCAAAACCUGCGAGUUGCUAUGCCUCAAUAUGCCAUGGAUCAUGGUGCAGAAGAAGGCAGCGAAACAUUGAAGAUAAAAGACACCACAAGAAAAUCACCUUGAUGAUCUCAACCAGUUGGUCAACUCCACUUUCUCCAGGAAACAGAGGCUACAUGGAUGAAUGUCAUCAGAAGAAGCAGUAAUAAGGUAAGAACCAGAGCGAGGGAAGGAGACUGAAUGUGCUCAACCUGGCCUAGAAGCAGCUCUGCCAUGACACAGCCUGUUGACCACAAAUCAAUAGCAGUAGUAUAUUCCGUUGCACCAAAUAUGAGCUCUGGUGCCCGGUAAUACCUUGAGCAUAUGUAGGAGAUGUUUGGCUCUCCUUUGACCUGCAUGUUUGCAAAAAUACCAUCAUGGCGAUUUUUGUACAAAAAAGAUGUACCAUGUCUAGGUAAGCCACCUGCAUUUGUUUACUCUUUUCAAGUAAUGUAGUGUGUGUUCAUAUGUAACAUUCUUUGUGCAUUCAAUUGUGGUUAAAAUUAGAAGAUAGCUCACCAAGA